CCCUCCCCCCAUCCCCACCUCUCCUCCCCCACAAACCUCAACAUCCUGCCAUCAGGUUUCCCUGGCAACUGUUGCCGCUGCGACAGCCCUUUUUCGCGCGGCCUGAUUUUUGGCUCGAAAGCAAAAAGAGGGGAGCAGACUGUGUCGACUAGUAUCCAUGUGUGCGCCUGCAACUUCCUCACAAAUAUCAACCGUGUGUUUUUUUUUGUUGAUGUAUUCUUUUUUUUAUUUUUACAUCACUAACUGUUUUUUGCACCACUGACUUUCUGGCAGUGAAUCGUUCAAUUCGCGUCACGCUGUCCUCUUGGUGAGUUUCAUUUGCAAAAGGCCCCACAUCGCUGCUAAACGCAUCUCUGCGCCCCACACUCGUGAUUAACACUCACACACCCGCAUCAGUCAUUAACAUAUUCCCUUCCCAGCGCGAGGGAUCCGUAUUCCCCUCACAGGUUAUUUACAUAUUCAUCUUCCUCUGUGUGUGCAAAUAACGGAUGCAUUAUCGUGUUGGUAUGCUGGUGGGUGUGCGCGCCGUGUGCGCGUGCACGUGCGCGUUUGUGUCAGUUCCUGAAAGCAAGGACUGUUAGGAAAAAAAAAAGCUAUUUACCCCCGUAAUUCCUCAGAUACCGCGUUCCCCCGCCCACCGCCUGUAGUAGCUCAUCGCUUUGGAAAGCAACGCGUAGCCCCUAUAGCACCUGUGAAGAGGCACAAACCAGAGGCCAUGUGAUUGAAGCUCGCUGGUGGAGAGAGCGGCGGUUGAGCCGGAGACACGCAGGCACAGUGCUGCAGUGUCUGAGUCACAGAGCAACGAACACACUCCCAACACUCUAAUGGAAAUGCUGUGUUUACUGUGCAGGAAGGGACCCGCUCAUUCACCCAUUCAGGGAAUAGGUGAAAAACACCGUAAUAUACGUGUGUGUGUGUGUGCGUGUAAUGACUAGUUGGUUUGUUUUGUGCAUGCAGUUGUGAAUUACAAAAUUCCUGUUACUGUUGUUACACGGUCAGUGUGUGUGUGUGUGUGUGUGAGUACGUGUUGAGGUGGGCUCACCCCGGCGAGGUUCUGUGAUGAGGGAGGAGGGGCGGUCAGACCUUCAUUUUAAAUCCCCAGUUUAAACCAGCUCUCUCCCUCUGCUUCAGGCUACUUUUUGCUCCCCUCACUAACACUGAGGUAAAAAAAGGCCUCUUCGCUCAGCAGCCCCCCCCCCCCACACACACACACACACACACACACACACACUCAUCUCGAUCGCUAUGCAUACUGGGAUAAACACCUCAGAGGAAACGUGCGUCUCCUGUUAAGCCAGUAUCCCCAACCUUCUUAUCUCUCUAUCAUCCGCCACUUGCUAAUCUGGGGUCAAAGGUCAGUUCCAGGGGCGGCUUAUGUCUAACGGCACAACCUCAGCUAGCCAAUCAAGGUUAAUGUUCGCAUUUUGCAUCGUGCCAUUUGUUUUUAUUGUUUCAACCCGGCUGUGCUGUGAACAAGGGUAACACCUGUUGGUGAAGCUGAGCGACUUUUAAUGUGCAUUUUUCAGCGGCUGUAUUUAUGGUUAAUCGCCUUGACGAGUGAUUUGACUUUUAGUCAUAAUCAUAACAAUUUGCCACUGCUCUCGGGUGGCGCGUGAGGUUUUGCGCGAGCGCAGAUAUGAGGGCGGUCCAGGUUGAGUCUGCCGUUAAUUGCAGCCGUACUUGUUCCCCCCCCCCCAGCCCACCUCCCCCUGGAGGCGAUGUCGCACACGUGUUAACCUCGGCGCUACAAGGCCGUGUGAGCUGCCGCGCGGCUAAAUUCAUUUUCUGUCACACCGCCCUUUUAAAAAUAGCAUCGAAGCGACAGCGGAGCUCGAUGCAUUAUUGAUACACGCGGUGUCAAUGAUGCAUGGCGGCGCUGGUGCUAAUCCUCUCCCAGCUGCACAGGACAAGAAGGUCCAGCUGACGGGAAUGCAAGGUUUUUUUGCUUUUAUUUCUCACGCGGUCAUCAAAACGGUGCGUCGGGCUCACCCCCCCUCCCCAACCACCCUGCAGGAGCAGCCAUGUCUCGCUAUUUGCUGUGCUCCUGGUGUGGAGGCCGGUUCGACGGCACCGGCCUUUAGAUGCCCGGGUCGCAAAGCAGAACUUUUUCUUUCGUUUGCCUCAUGUUGCGUCUGCCGGGGCUCGAGAUGAGAUGUGAGCAGAACUUUUUCUGUGUCAUCAGUGUGAGCGGCCUGAAGCCACUUAUCAAAGCUUAUCUCACGUACGCACACACAAGCAUGUGCAUGUGUCAUCACACACACACACUCACACACACACACACCAACACUGACUGAGUGAUUUAUUGAUUGAGGUGGUGCUUUCUUAAACAAUUUGCAGCCGAGUGCACUGGAGGUCAACGCAAACCUCUCCACCUGCCGCCGCCGUGCUUCAGUUUUACGAGUGUGUGCUUUAUAUCCUGUGAAGGUGUCCUUAAUUUCGAGGAUGGCCGUGACAUUAGCGCACGGCUUAUUUCCUCGUUGCCUCGGCAACCACGUUGUUGGUCACAAGAUGUCCGUCGCGGUCGUCCUGCGAGCCCUGAGCUGUGUGCAGUCGGGGGGGGGGGCGGUUGUCGAUGUCGGCACGCGCUGUGACGUAAGACUGAUGAGUGGUGUCUCAUCGCAGAUGACUAUCUCCUCCGUGUCACUCAGUUGUGGAUCAUCGAGCCUGUGAGCUGCUGCUCUGAAGAAAAGGGAGACAAAAUCCACACAGGCGUUGAAACAGCAAAACGGGACCGUGUAGUUGUAAAGUACAGAUCGAUGGAAUCCGUAAACCCGGACUGCUCCUAAACAGAGAGCCUUUCACGGACGCUUUAGAAAGGAGGACAUCACUGUCAGAGGAAAACUUGAUUUUAUUUUACAUAUAAAUAGUUGGGCUAAGAAGCUCUACAGAGCCAAACAAAAUUGCGUUUUUGUGGACGGCGCGAGGUUUUUCGCCAGAAACCGCCCGACUUCGUGGCCUGAAGCGGCUGCGCGGAACACGUGAUGUGUGCUGACGCUGGGACUCGUACCCGAAGGUCCUGAACCAUUGGUAACUACUAAAGGAUGUGCUGACCCAGCAGCCGCACUCCUCUCAGAGGACGAGCUCACUGUUGAGUUUCCAAACGCACAUUCCACCCCCCGUCUGCAGAGCCUCCCCCCGGCUCCCAGAUUUACCGUUUAUGGGCACCUUGGCUCAGCAUCAUAAUCACACUCUGCUGUGUCUGAUGUUUGUUUGAAGCUCGGCGGGGGGCCACCGAGUACGUUUCGCCGCUUUGAAGUGUAAAUUCCGGUCUGGUUGGAGCACCGUAUGGAAGGCAGUGGGGAGACAGCAGCCGCCAUGUGGAUAUAAGCUGCUGGGAGCCCUUAUCGGUCUGCCGAGGUGGCAGAGGCCCAGGAGGACGGGAGGUCAAGCCCAGAUUUGGACGUAGAACAGCGAGGGGUCAGAGGUUGUCUGGGCUCCGAGAGGUGAAACCAGAACAGGAAUCGGCGUGGCCUGGAUCCGCGCAGGAAACAGUAGUGAAUAGUCGUCAAUAAGAAAUCACCAUCUCCAUCACCCUCUUUUUGCCCCCCCC
ensembl:lncRNA